rnacentral:rRNA from 1 species
AAUAUUGCGCAAUGGGGGAAACCCUGACGCAGCAACGCCGCGUGAAGGAAGAAGGUCUUCGGAUUGUAAACUUCUUUCGUUGGUGAAGAUAUUGACGGUAGCCGCGGAGGAAGCCACGGCUAAAUACGUGCCAGCAGCCGCGGUAAUACGUAGGUGGCAAGCGUUGUCCGGAUUUACUGGGUGUAAAGGGCGUGUAGACGGGUGUGCAAGUCAGAUGUGAAAUACCGCGGCUUAACCGCGGGGGUGCAUUUGAAACUGCAUAUCUUGAGUGUGGGAGAGGAAAGCGGAAUUCCUAGCGUAGCGGUGAAAUGCGUAGAUAUUAGGAGGAACACCAAUGGCGAAGGCAGCCCCCUGGGCCGAUACUGACGCUCAUGCACGAAAGCGUGGGUAGCAAACAGG